UUCUCUAAGAUAGUAAUUUAGAGUAGGCCCUGCUCCAUGAGUAAUUGAAUAGCUGCAAAUUGGCACUAAGGUAGCAUAAUCAUUUGUUUAUUAAUUGUAAACUUGUAUGAAAGGGUUAAUAGUCAUUGACUUUAUAAAGGUAUAUCUUGAAUUUGGAAUCUUAUUAAGAAUAAUGAGAUAAGUUUCAGGGACGAGAAGACCCUAUAAAGCUUUACAUUAAGAUUUUAAUUUAAUUAAAAUUAAAUGUUACUUUGGGGCAAAGUCUUAUGAAUUGGAAUAUAGGGAAUAUAAAUUAAUUAAUAUUUAGAUAUGUGAUCCAGCUAGGUUGAUUAUUUGAAUAAGUUACUUUAGGGAUAACAGUAUAAUUUCUAUUAGAGAGCACUGAUUGGAAAUGGGGAUUAUAACCUCGAUGUUGAAUUAAUUUAAUUAGAAGGUGUAGGGGCUUUUUAAAUUUGACUGUUCGUCAAUUAAAGGAUUACA
rnacentral:rRNA from 1 species